AAUAGAUACCCGGGUAGUCCACGCCGUAAACGAUGAGUGCUAAGUGUUAGAGGGUUUCCGCCCUUUAGUGCUGAAGUUAACGCAUUAAGCACUCCGCCUGGGGAGUACGGCCGCAAGGCUGAAACUCAAAGGAAUUGACGGGGGCCCGCACAAGCGGUGGAGCAUGUGGUUUAAUUCGAAGCAACGCGAAGAACCUUACCAGGUCUUGACAUCCUCUGACAACCCUAGAGAUAGGGCUUCUCCUUCGGGAGCAGAGUGACAGGUGGUGCAUGGUUGUCGUCAGCUCGUGUCGUGAGAUGUUGGGUUAAGUCCCGCAACGAGCGCAACCCUUGAUCUUAGUUGCCAGCAUUCAGUUGGGCACUCUAAGGUGACUGCCGGUGACAAACCGGAGGAAGGUGGGGAUGACGUCAAAUCAUCAUGCCCCUUAUGACCUGGGCUACACACGUGCUACAAUGGAUGGUACAAAGAGCUGCGAACCCGCGAGGGUAAGCGAAUCUCAUAAAGCCAUUCUCAGUUCGGAUUGUAGG
rnacentral:rRNA from 1 species